UCGAUCUUGUCUGUCAUCGCCGAUUGCUCUGCCCUGGUCGUUAUGCUCUCCAGGAUUGGGCUUGUUCGGAGUAGAUUCGGUCGUUGCGUGAUUGAUGGUCGGAUGUUUGACAGGUAAUGCUGUAUGAUGACAGCGAGCAGCUGUUGGAAUGCAGGAUCUCGAAGAAUGAUGAAGUUGUUUGUUCUGGUGAGACGCUGACGUUCAAUGCUUAUUUGGUUGAUGUUGGAGAGCCUGAAGGAGGGCAGAAGCCCCUGGAUGAUACUUAUAUUCAUAACCGAGAAAAGAAAGUUCCUAAGUGAACGGCUUUGCUUCACGGGAACAAGUUCGUCGACGUGUCUAAUUGCACCGGAGAUGAGAAGACCAAAGUGGAGAAGGAUAAACAGCAGAGAAUCAGCCUGAGCCCAUCGCAGAAAAUUAUUAGAGAAUUCAAGAAACAUGAAAUGAACAAGCACGGCAUGUUGCAGGCGAGUCCGAAGGCAUCAAG